UAACCUGCCCAAGAGAUCGGGAUAACACCUGGAAACAGAUGCUAAUACCGGAUAACAACAGAUGAUGCCUAUCAACUGUUUAAAAGAUGGUUCUGCUAUCACUCUUGGAUGGACCUGCGGUGCAUUAGCUAGUUGGUAGGGUAACGGCCUACCAAGGCGAUGAUGCAUAGCCGAGUUGAGAGACUGAUCGGCCACAUUGGAACUGAGACACGGCCCAAACUCCUACGGGAGGCAGCAGGG
rnacentral:rRNA from 1 species